CUGUGAAUUACAGAAGAGAUCCAUUCCCAACUAGAAGAAAGGAGGAGGAAACCAGAGAGGUGAUAACAACAAAGGUACACUCCCUGAAUUGUGAAGGUAUAAUCAUCUCAGAACAUUUCAAGAUUUAAUGAGAAUGAAGAAGACAUGUGUUUUGGG
rnacentral:lncRNA from 12 species